CGCGCAGGCGGGUUUGUCAGUCAGGGGUGAAAUCCUACAGCUUAACUGUAGAACUGCCUUUGAUACUGCAAACCUUGAGUUCGGAAGAGAGAGGCGGAAUUCCAGGUGUAGUGGUGAAAUACGUAGAUAUCUGGGAGAACACCAGAGGCGAAGGCGGUCUCUUGGUCCGUAACUGACGCUGAGGCGCGAAAGCGUGGGGAGCAAACA
rnacentral:rRNA from 1 species